ensembl:snoRNA small nucleolar RNA SNORD75
AGUCGAGGAUGAUUAUGUAAGAGUAGUGGACAGAAGUGAUUUCUGAUUAAACUUACGCUGAGACU